GUUUUAGAUAAUUUAUUUUGAUAGGAUUGUUACAGUGUGUUGUGUGUUCUUUCAGCUUUGAUUCAUUUCAAUAUUAGAGGUCAGAUUCAAGUCUUCUAUCUAGUGUUGUUUCAGGCUUUAGCCAGAAUAUUUUUUAAUGGUUUAUGCUGUUCAUUAACUUACUGUUUCUUGAAAUUUGCUUUCUAAUAGAAUGAUGCCAAUGGGUGGAAUGAUGCCACCUGGACCAGGAAUACCACCUCUGAUGCCUGGAAUGCCACCAGGUAUGCCCCCACCUGUUCCACGUCCUGGAAUUCCUCCAAUGACCCAAGCACAGGCUGUUUCAGCGCCAGGUAUUCUUAAUAGACCACCUGCACCAACAGCAACUGUACCUGCCCCACAGCCUCCAGUUACUAAGCC
rnacentral:sRNA from 1 species